UUCAACCAGAAGAAAAUUUUUCUAUCACCUCUGUCGCUCCCACACCAUCUCCAUCGCUCCAUCACCACCACCAUGUUGGUCGCCUCCACCACAACCAGCACCACCACCUCCAUCACGCCUGCACUACUAUUGAAAGGUUAAAGAUCUGGAUAAUUGAUGGUAUGGUUUGAAGAUUUUUGAAGAUGGAGCGAUGUAAUCUGUAAUACAAAUCGACAUGAUGAUUAGAUUGAAGGGUGAACAUAUCGAUUAGGUGUUUUCAUUUUUUAUGAUUUUGAUAUGUAUUGACUCAUUGAAGUAGAGGUGAACAAUUUUUUUUAUUAGAUCUUAAAAUUGUUAUUUGGAUCCGUGUCUGGUGAUAGAGUAGUAGCAUUUUUGGAGGUGGUUGGUAUUGGUGUUGCAUGUGUUGUAGUGUUGAUUGGAUUUAGUUCUUGCUUUGAUUGUAAUUGGUGAUGAAAGAGGUGAAAUUGGUGGGGGUCUGAAGUUGGUGGACGUGUAAUUAGUAACGUGGGUUGACUAGGGUGGAGUUUAGAGGUUGUGCUCGUUGUGGAAUUGGAGUUGGAGGCGACUUUUGUUAAUUUAAAUUGUUGGUAGUGGUGGACCUAGUGGUGGCGGAGAUAUCGGGAGGUAAUGCCGGUGGAAACAUAUGAUUAGGUGGUGGAGCAGAGGUACUUCUGUGGUGGUGGUGGAAUGGGUGGAGGUUUGGUGGUGUAGGUGGUAGAUGAGAGGUGGAGGGGGUGCUAAGGUGGAAUCAGGGUAGUUGGUAAGGUUCGAUUGUUGUAGUAAUUCAAGAUUUAGUGAAGGAGGAGGUGGUGAAGGUUUAGGAGCUAUUUUUUUUUAUACUGGAUCAACUAAUUGGAAGACAAACAUGCUCACAUCCUUAUUGGACUUUUAUUUUAGUGAACUGAAUGAAUAACUCAAACACUAUUCCCAAGAGCAUAAUGGAGUUGAUAAUAUGGCUAACAUAUGGAUUCUCCUCUAUAUAUUUUCAGCAGUGCUGAAGGUAGUGGAUGUCGCAAUGGAGGUGGUAUGUUGUGUUAGCAGUAGUGGUAAUGGUAGUGGAUGUUGCAGUUGUGGUGGGGUAGUUGCGGGAGGCAAUAUGAACUUGUGUUGGAUGCGAGUGAACUACUAGGUGUUUUUGGAGAAAUAAACAUGUGUGGAAAUUCGGCUCGAAAAGUUGACUGGGGCACCUCGAAAGAAACGUGUUAUCCGCACCCUAUCACUGGAUAAGGGGAAAUCAUCACCAUCUUCUUCACUGUUUAAAGAAUACAUUUUGGCGGGAAAAUAGCUUCAGAUUGCGUAACUUCCUGUGUUGAUUUAUGGGCUGAUUUGUUGGGAUCUUUUCGCUGGAAUUGAUUGGGAAUAUCCUGUUGCAUUAAAACAGGAAUGGUAUGCAAGAAGAUUUCACGUGAUAAAUACUUGAUAUUCUGGAAUUGAUUAUGGGAGAUACGUGAACUGUGAGAGAAGAUUUUACUCUCUGGAAUAUAUUCUAUUGAUUGAAAGAGAUUUCUUUGCCAACUCAGAAACGUGUGGAAGUGUAGAACAUAGAAGAAGGAGUUCUUGUUGGUUUUGGAAGUUUAAAUGUAAGAAGAUAUUCCCGAUAAUAUUUUCCGUAAUGCCGAGUAAUGAAAAAUAUUUGUAGUUAUGGAAGAGAUUUCUUGUGCAUGAGAGGAUAUAUAAGGUGCUGAGGAGUUUUAGACGAGGGGAUGAAGAGUAAGGGGUGAGAACAGAGUGUAGGAAUUAGAGUUGGAGAGAGUUGUUGUUGCUGUCAUGACAGAAGAACACGAAGAACAAUAGACUGCAAAAAGCAGUCGUUUUUUAGUGUCGAAAAAACCGUUACGUUUUCUUCCAGAUAAGACUGUUGUUUUGCGACAGUUUUGAGCUAUAGUUUUCUUGUAACAGCU